UACGUAGGGUGCAAGCGUUGUCCGGAAUUAUUGGGCGUAAAGAGCUCGUAGGCGGUUCUGUCGCGCGCGUGAAAUCCCGAGGCUCAACCUCGGGUCUGCAGUCGAUACGGGCAAACUGGAGUACUGCAGGGGAGACUGGAAUUCCCGGUGUAGCGGUGAGAUGCGCAGAUAUCAGGAGGAACACCGGUGGCGAAGGCGGGUCUCUGGGCCGAUACUGACGCUGAGGAGCGAAAGCGUGGGGAGCGAACAGG
rnacentral:rRNA from 1 species